UACGUAGGGUGCGAGCGUUGUCCGGAUUUAUUGGGCGUAAAGGGCUCGUAGGCGGUCUGUCGCGUCUGCUGUGAAAACUCGGGGCUUAACCCCGGGCCUGCAGUGGGUACGGGCAGACUAGAGUGCGGUAGGGGAGACUGGAAUUCCUGGUGUAGCGGUGAAAUGCGCAGAUAUCAGGAGGAACACCGGUGGCGAAGGCGGGUCUCUGGGCCGUAACUGACGCUGAGGAGCGAAAGCGUGGGGAGCGAACAGG
rnacentral:rRNA from 1 species